UGUUUUGUGGCUUAGUUGGUUAAAGCGUCUGACUACCGAUACGGAGUCGAGAGUUCAAGUCUCACCAAAACAC
rnacentral:tRNA from 1 species